GACGAACGCUGGCGGCGUGCCUAAUACAUGCAAGUAGAACGAUGAAGGAGGAGCUUGCUUCUCUGGAUGAGUUGCGAACGGGUGAGUAACGCGUAGGUAACCUGCCUGGUAGCGGGGGAUAACUAUUGGAAACGAUAGCUAAUACCGCAUAAUAUUGACUAUUGCAUGAUAGUCAGUUGAAAGGUGCAACUGCACCACUACCAGAUGGACCUGCGUUGUAUUAGCUAGUUGGUGGGGUAACGGCUCACCAAGGCGACGAUACAUAGCCGACCUGAGAGGGGGCUCGGCCACGCUGGUACUGGGGCACGGCCCAGACUCCUACGGGAGGCAGCAGUAGGAAAUCUUCGGCAGUGGACGGAAGUCUGACCGAGCAGCGACGCGUGAGUGACGGAGGUUUUCGGAUCGUGAGACUGUGUUGUAAGAGAAGAUCGUGUGUGUGUGUGGAAAGCUCACACUGUGACGGUAUCUUGCCAGAAAGGGACGGCUAACUACGUG
rnacentral:rRNA from 1 species